UAAACAUAGACAGGAUAUGUGGCGAGCCCCAAGAAGAGAAUUUCAAACCGGAAUUGAUCAAAAAGAACUUAAGGGAGAUUAGAUGAUAGAUAAAGAGAAUCAAGUCACCUAUGUGCAACGACAAUUAAACAAGAGCUGGAGAAAAACCCUGAAGAAGACCAGGUUAUGGCAGUGUAGCCCCCUCAAAAGGGGAGUUUUUUUUAGUAUGUUUACUUUGUUUAUGGUGUUAACCUAUUAACAGCUUAAUGCGUUAUUCUUGUGUGUUCUAUAACUGUUUCUUUGGUCCGCUGGUAUAUGCCAAGAGUAUACAUUUAUAUGCGUGUCCCCUUUAAGAAGUUUUUUUUCAAUGCUGAAGUUUGGUUUACGUGCACUUGGUAAAAACGUGGGUUUCUGCAAUCAUGUUUGAUUAUACAGGGUUGAUUGGGUGAAUAAGUGCUUAGACCCGCCUAUGUAUAAGAGAUAAUGAUGUGAUUGGUCAAUGAUCGGGAGGAAGAGAAAAAAGGAGGAAAAAGUCAUCGAUAUAGAUCGGGAGGAUAUAUCCGCAAACCGCGAGUUAUAUUGAGAUUUUCGUGAGUGUUUUGUAAAUUGAUUGAUGUGUAUUGGUUGACACAGGCAAUGUGUUACAGUAUUUUUCACUUAGACUAUUUUGCCCGUGAGCGAGAGCGGCAGCACGUUCGGUUAGCCUUUAAUUAGUUGCCGGAUCACAUAGCGCUGUGGAAAGUGUUUUUGUGCUACAAACUUUAAUGGUGCCGGCUGGCCGUGAUCAUUCUGUCGUGGGAAGCGAUUAAGGAACUACAAAGCUUUUGUCGGGAUACCGGAUAGCGCACCCAGCCACCGGGAGCGUUGGGUGUUCCUCCGGCAUCGUGGGACGGCUGGCGGAAAGUCACUGAACGUGUUUAAAGUGCAGCCCCGGAGAAUAUCGUGCCUGCAUAAGGAACACAGAUCACAACACCAACAGCAGCCAUAACCAGGAGCAGAAGAGAAACACAUAUUCCUGCCAUCACACCUGAAGACUGAUCUGUGGAGGAUAAAACAUCAUCAUUAUCAUUAAUGAAUUCUUCACAGGCUUCAGUAAUGACAGAGAGACAAUAAUUAAUAUUAAAUGAAUUUAUUAAUAUGAUCAUAAACAUUUGUAACCAUGAUCAGAUUUCAUUAAAAAAAUACAUUUUUA